GAACCGUCCAAACGUUUAUUCGGAAUCAUUGGGCUUAAAGGGUGCGUAGGCGGUGCGGUCAGUUGGGUGUGAAAUCCCUCGGCUCAACCGAGGAACUGCGCCCAAUACUGCCGUACUCGAGGGAGACAGAGGUAAGCGGAACUGAUGGUGGAGCGGUGAAAUGCGUUGAUAUCAUCAGGAACACCUGUGGCGAAAGCGGCUUACUGGGUCUCUUCUGACGCUGAGGCACGAAAGCUAGGGGAGCGAACGGGGGAUUAGAUACCCCGGUAGUCCUAGCUGUAAACGAUGAGCACUUGAUCGGAGACUCCUCCAUAGGUUUCCGGUCGUAGCGAAAGUGUUAAGUGCUCCGCCUGGGGAGUAUGGUCGCAAGGCUG
rnacentral:rRNA from 1 species